rnacentral:rRNA from 1 species
CCUACGGGAGGCAGCAGUGGGGAAUAUUGCACAAUGGGGGAAACCCUGAUGCAGCGACGCCGCGUGAGUGAAGAAGUAUUUCGGUAUGUAAAGCUCUAUCAGCAGGGAAGAAAUAAAGUCCUUCGGACUUUGGACGGUACCGGACUAAGAAGCCCCGGCUAACUACGUGCCAGCAGCCGCGGUAAUACGUAGGGGGCAAGCGUUAUCCGGAUUUACUGGGUGUAAAGGGAGCGUAGACGGCAGCGCAAGUCGGGAGUGAAAUCCCAUGGCUUAACCAUGGAACUGCUUUUGAAACGGUGCAGCUGGAGUGCAGGAGAGGUAAGCGGAAUUCCUAGUGUAGCGGUGAAAUGCGUAGAUAUUAGGAGGAACACCAGUGGCGAAGGCGGCUUACUGGACUGUAACUGACGUUGAGGCUCGAAAGCGUGGGGAGCAAACAGGAUUAGAUACCCUAGUAGUC